rnacentral:rRNA from 1 species
GCAGUCGCCGCGGGAAUACAGAGGGUGCGAGCGUUAAUCGGAUUUACUGGGCGUAAAGCGUGCGUAGGCGGCUUUUUAAGUCGGAUGUGAAAUCCCUGAGCUUAACUUAGGAAUUGCAUUCGAUACUGGGAAGCUAGAGUAUGGGAGAGGAUGGUAGAAUUCCAGGUGUAGCGGUGAAAUGCGUAGAGAUCUGGAGGAAUACCGAUGGCGAAGGCAGCCAUCUGGCCUAAUACUGACGCUGAGGUACGAAAGCAUGGGGAGCAAACAGGAUUAGAUACCCCUGUAGUCCCUGUCUCUUAUAC